UGUGAAGAGCCUAUCUGUUCUUGGAGAC
rnacentral:piRNA from 1 species